AGAGGUAAGGGUGGUCUGGCUGUGACAUCUGUCACCCACAGAUCACCAGGGUUGAUUCGGCUGACGUGGCUGGCGCGGCGGGCGUCCCCUUCCUCCCUCACGGCUCCGUGUGCGCCCCUCGCGAAGCUGCAUGCUCCUUCGAAGAGGACAACUUUCCCUGAAUAGAGGAGGAGCGGUCUUCGGCCAGGGGCGUACGAGUAGCUGUGCUCCCCCACUAGGACCCUCAAACAAGCUCUCAUGUACCCAGAGAGACACAUACAUGACCCAGACAGACACAUACAUGCACCCAAACACACAU
rnacentral:snRNA from 1 species